rnacentral:rRNA from 1 species
UACGGAGGAUCCGAGCGUUAUCCGGAUUCAUUGGGUUUAAAGGGAGCGUAGGUGGAUUGUUAAGUCAGUUGUGAAAGUUUGCGGCUCAACCGUAAAAUUGCAGUUGAAACUGGCAGUCUUGAGUACAGUAGAGGUGGGCGGAAUUCGUGGUGUAGCGGUGAAAUGCUUAGAUAUCACGAAGAACUCCGAUUGCGAAGGCAGCUCACUGGACUGCAACUGACACUGAGGCUCGAAAGUGUGGGUAUCAAACAGG